rnacentral:sRNA from 1 species
UAGGGUUAUUUUCUUUCGUUGUGCCUCUUUAUUACAACUUUCCGUUAUAAUAUCGACAAUUAUCUUUUUCGUUUAUGUACUCCUCUUGAUUCCUGAGUCCAAAAUCGUCCUUAGCUUUCUUUUCUUUAGUUUUUACUCCAAAAUAUCUCCACAUCUCCAUUGUUGUCCCACUGCAUAGAAUACUUGAAAAGACACUAAAAAGACUCGAGAAAUAACAUAAAGACUCAAAAUCCUAUACCUAAAACAUAAAUAAAAUCAGUGAAAAUAGGAUUAUAUCAAUAUCGCAGGGGUCCGAGUCCUAUUAUUAUUAAUGCUUU